CCUACGGGAGGCAGCAGUGGGGAAUAUUGGGCAAUGGGCGCAAGCCUGACCCAGCAACGCCGCGUGAAGGAAGAAGGCGUUCGGGUUGUAAACUUCUUUUAAGAGGGAAGAGCAGAAGACGGUACCUCUGGAAUAAGCCACGGCUAACGACGGGCCAGCAGCCGCGGAAAUACGUAGGUGGCAAGCGUUGUCCGGAUUGACUGGGUGGAAAGGGCGUGCAGCCGGGAAGACAAGUCAGAUGUGAAAUCCCGCGGCUCAACCGCGGAACUGCCUUUGAAACUGUUUUUCUUGAGUACCGGAGCGGUCAUCGGAAUUCCUUGUGUAGCGGUGACAUGCGUAGAUAUCAGGCAGAACACCAGUGGCGACGGCGGCUGCCUGGCCGGCAUCUGACGGUGAGGCGCGAAAGCGUGGGGAGCAAACAGGAUUAGAUACCCUGGUAGUC
rnacentral:rRNA from 1 species